GGGAAGGCCAAUGGAGAGAGACACCAAAGGAGAGCUGUGGGGACAGCAGAAGCUGGGGUGGAGCGCCCAGCUCGUCCCUUUCAGCACUGUGGUGCAGGGAUCCGUGGAGGCCGUGCAGCCAGGGGUUCUGAGAAGUGCUUCUUCCAGCACCUGUUUCACCAGGGCCACAACACGUGUUCCAAAUGCCACUUUUGCCCAUCUCCUGCUACAGCUCAGGAGAAGUGGGAGGACCUGUGUAUCAUGCAUAUAAUCUCCCAGAGGGUGCGACAGAUCACGCCCCUCACUGUGCGCCUUCUCUAAAUCCAUCACCCUGGAAAUUUUACGUGGUGUCAUCAGCUGAAUUAACACCUGUUAAAAUCAUCAUUCCCACCAGACUCAAAACUGCAAGUGCUUUUAAUGAGGCUCCACAUAAAAUAAUACAUUUUCUCAGAGCCCUUAAAUUACAUUAAAUCCUCCACACCAAAUAAAUUAUUGAAACUGCGAUUAGAGUUUGGAUCAUACCAACAGACCUGCUCGGAGGCAAAUUUUCAAACUGCCCAACCACCUAAGCAAAGAGAUUCUCAAAGCAAUCCUGUAUGGUGAGAAUUAUUUUUAUUUUACCGACAAAGCUGCUGAAGAUCAGAGACAUUGAGUUACUCAUAGAAGAUAUACAGACAGAGCCAAGAUUCAAAUCCCUUGGGUGUCUGGCUCCAAAGUGGAAAUUUUCUCCACGGUGCCAAAGGACUCAUAAACAGAAUGUACAAAGGACUCUUACAAAUCAGUAAUAAAAGGACAAUCAAUGUUUUUAAACAAGCAGAAGACUUCGAUAAACACCACAUAAAAGAGAAUGCAUGCAUGGCCAAUGAGAACAUAAAAAAGAUGCUCAGCGUUGUUGGUCGUCAGGGAAGUGCAGAUUGAAAAUGCAAUGGGAUACCACUACACACCCGCCAGAAUGGUUAAAAUUUAAAAAUUUUAACAGUACCAAAUGUUAGAGAGGCUGUGAAGCAGCAGGAUGUUUUAUGCAUGGCCAGCAAAAGUAUAAAAUGGUAGAGCCAUUUGGAAAACUGGCAUUUUCUCAUAAAUAUUCACCUAUCAUGUGAUCUAAAAAUUCCAAAAGAAAUGAAACUAUAUGUCUACAAAAAAAGUUGGAUAAGAAUAUUCAUUGUAGCUUUAUUUCUUUUGUUGUUGUUGUUGAAACAGAGUCUCGCUCUGCCGCCCAGGCUGGAGUGCAGUGGAGCCGUCUCAGCUCACUGCAACCUCUGCCUCCCGGGUUCAAGCAAUUCUUGUGCCUCAGCCUCCCAGGUAGCUGGGACUACAGGCACGUGCCACCACACCUGGCUAAUUUUUGUAUUUUUAGUAGAGAUGGGGUUUCGCCAUAUUGGCCAGGCUGCUCUCGAACUCCUGACCUUGUGAUCCGCCUGCCUCGGCCUCCCAAAGUGCUGGGAUUACAGGCAUGAGCCACCGCACCUGGCCAUGGCUUUAUUUCUAAAAGCCAAACUUUGGAAACAAUGCCAAUGUCUAUCAAUAGACUAAAGAGAUAAAUUGAGAUUUUUCAUACUGUGAGAUAUUGCCCCACAAUAAAAAGGAGCAAACUAUUAAUGCAUACAACAACGUAGAUGAAUCUCAACAAUAUUAUGUUAAAUGAGAAGCACCAGACACAAAAGAGUACACACAAUGAACGACUCCACUUAUGUGAAGUCUAGCAACAGGAAAAACUCAUCUAUGGAAAUAGAAAUCAGAAUAGUCAUUGCCUGUGAGAAUGUAGAGGGAGGGUGGGCCACAGGAAAGGAGCAUGGGAAAAUUUUUUGGGUGAUGGCAAUUUUCACAUUUUGAUUAAACAAUUAAGUUUAAUCAAAUUAUACACUUAAGGUCUGUGCAUUUUACCAUAUGUAAUUAUGCUUUGAAUAAAAAUAAAUUAAAAUAAAGGGAUGAAAUGAGUUGCUUCUUCCAGUAUUAUGCUUUGGCACUGGAAGUAUUUAAGCUAGACUAAUGCUUAUCAGAGAUAUUGUGGACGGUUCAAAUUGGGAGUUCUGAUUAAGUAAUAAAAAACAAGCCCUCAGAUUUUAAGACUUCGGUGUGAUACUUGAUAUGUAAUGCUGAACUAAUCAUGUAUUUCGGAAUAGGCAAAACCUGCGUUCAUCUUCUAUUUUGGAGAACUCCACGUAGAUAUGGAAACUUAUGUUACCGAAAACUUUCUUGAAUCUGUUUAUUUUUCUUUUCUGAAAUUCUUCCCCUAUUUACCAUUACCUCUAACUACUUGCCUCCUGAAACGCAAACCUUUAGCCACUCUAUGUUCCUGUAUCUUAGAACAUGUGGUGUUUGCACAUUUCCUUUGUUAAACAUCCUCCCUACUCCCACUUCCCAUCAACUUCUGCCCUUCCUUGAAACUACACAGAAGUCAACUGCACCAGUAAGACUCCCCUAUAAGCCCUGUGGCCCACAGUUUUAGUCUAUUUUUGAGUCUAGAUUACCUGUAGUAUAGCAAUUAUCCCAGGCUAAAUGAUGCCAAGGUCCCUUCCCGCUCAAAGAGUCUGGCUCUUUGAACAGGGGAAUCUGGGCUUGAAGAAUGAAGAGAAACAACCAAGC
rnacentral:lncRNA from 1 species